CAGCCGCCACGGUAAUACGAGGGGUGCAAGCGUUAUUCGGAUUGAUUGGGUGUAAAGGGUGUGCAGACGGCUUAUUAAGUCACUUGUUAAAUUCUUCGGCCUAACUGAAGGUCUGCAAGUGAUACUGAUGAGCUAGAGGGUGGAAGAGAGAAGUGGAAUUCUCGGAGCAGCGGUAAAAUGCGUAGAUCUCGAGAGGAACACCAAUGGCGAAGGCAGCUUCUUGGUCCAUUCCUGACGUUCAUACACGAAAGCGUGGGGAGCAAACAGGAUUAGAUACCCCCGUAGUCCCUGUCUCUUAUAC
rnacentral:rRNA from 1 species